rnacentral:rRNA from 1 species
CCUCCUUUCUUCCGCCGUUCUUACUAUUGUUCCCUGGCCGGCCGGCUGAACCAGCCAUGCCGCGUGAAGGUCAGUGCCCUAUGGGCGUUAAACUUCUUUUGUGCGGGAGCAAUAAUGGUCACGUGUGGCCAGACGAGAGUACCGUACGAAUAAGCAUCGGCUAACUCCGUGCCAGCAGCCGCGGUAAUACGGGGGAUGCAAGCGUUAUCCGGAUUUAUUGGGUUUAAAGGGUGUGUAGGCUGUGAGGUAAGUCAGCGGUGAAAUGCCCCCGCUCAACGGGGUGAAGUGCCAUUGAUACUGCCUUGCUGGAAUGCGGAUGCCGUGGGAGGAAUGUGUGGUGUAGCGGUGAAAUGCAUAGAUAUCACACAGAACACCGAUUGCGAAGGCAUCUCACGAAUCCGCGAUUGACGCUGAUGCACGAAAGCGUGGGUAUCAAACAGGAUUAGAUACCCGUGUAGUC